GACGAACGCUGGCGGCGUGCUUAACACAUGCAAGUCGAACGGAAAGGCCCUGCUUUUGUGGGGUGCUCGAGUGGCGAACGGGUGAGUAACACGUGAGUAACCUGCCCUUGACUUUGGGAUAACUUCAGGAAACUGGGGCUAAUACCGGAUAGGAGCUCCUGCUGCAUGGUGGGGGUUGGAAAGUUUCGGCGGUUGGGGAUGGACUCGCGGCUUAUCAGCUUGUUGGUGGGGUAGUGGCUUACCAAGGCUUUGACGGGUAGCCGGCCUGAGAGGGUGACCGGCCACAUUGGGACUGAGAUACGGCCCAGACGCCUACGGGAGGCAGCAGUGGGGAAUAUUGCACAAUGGGCGGAAGCCUGAUGCAGCAACGCCGUGUGCGGGAUGACGGCCUUCGGGUUGUAAACCGCUUUCGCCUGUGACGAAGCGUGAGUGACGGUAAUGGGUAAAGAAGCACCGGCUAACUACGUG
rnacentral:rRNA from 1 species